AUUGAACGCUGGCGGCAGGCCUAACACAUGCAAGUCGAGCGGAUGAGGGGAGCUUGCUCCUUGAUUCAGCGGCGGACGGGUGAGUAAUGCCUAGGAAUCUGCCUGGUAGUGGGGGAUAACGUUCCGAAAGGAACGCUAAUACCGCAUACGUCCUACGGGAGAAAGCAGGGGACCUUCGGGCCUUGCGCUAUCAGAUGAGCCUAGGUCGGAUUAGCUAGUUGGUGAGGUAAUGGCUCACCAAGGCGACGAUCCGUAACUGGUCUGAGAGGAUGAUCAGUCACACUGGAACUGAGACACGGUCCAGACUCCUACGGGAGGCAGCAGUGGGGAAUAUUGGACAAUGGGCGAAAGCCUGAUCCAGCCAUGCCGCGUGUGUGAAGAAGGUCUUCGGAUUGUAAAGCACUUUAAGUUGGGAGGAAGGGCAGUAAGUUAAUACCUUGCUGUUUUGACGUUACCAACAGAAUAAGCACCGGCUAACUUCGUGCCAGCAGCCGCCGUAAUAC
rnacentral:rRNA from 1 species